UACGUAGGGUGCAGGCGUUAAUCGGAAUUACUGGGCGUAAAGCGUGCGCAGGCGGUUUCUUAAGUCAGAUGUGAAAUCCCCGGGCUUAACCUGGGAACUGCGUUUGAAACUGGGAGACUUGAGUGUGGCAGAGGGGGGUGGAAUUCCACGUGUAGCAGUGAAAUGCGUAGAUAUCGGGAGGAACACCAGUGGCGAAGGCGAGUCCCUGGACAAUUCCUGACGCUGAGGCACGAAAGCUAGGGGAGCAAACAGG
rnacentral:rRNA from 1 species